AUAAUUGCAUUAAUGAGAAAUUUAACAGGUGUUCCUAAUAAUCCUUUAGAUGAGUGUAUAUAUAUAACAACUUUUCCCGGGCUGACUGCCAUGGUAAAAAAGCAUCUAAACAUUUUGACCAGUAUGGCACACACAAUGACAAAAAAAAUAUAAUUUUGGUGGCACUGGCCAAUUUACAAUAACUAGGUUUUGAAAUAUGAAUGGAAUGUUUUGGUCGAGUAACUACAUUUUACAGACAUGCCAGAGUUUUGAUGUCCCAUGAAAAGGUGAUGAUUGCACUUACAGUUUAGAGAAUGUUGAGCCAAAGCGAUUGAGAAAAAUUGGAAGCCAGUAUUUUGUGUGGCUAAAAUUUAAGUUAUUUGCAUCGUGGUUAAUUCUUCCAUGAUUUGCCAUAUAUUUUAUUUUGACUUGGGCUGCUUCAAGUUAUUUUCCUGUUAAAGUGGUCCCACAGAAUUUUGAUUAUUUUGAGGUAAGGGAUUUGAGGUGGGCAACCGUGUAUUCCAUCUGCAUAUUAUAAGUAUCCGAGUUGUAGUACUUGAGACCACAUAACUCGAAUGCAUUUUUACUUGAUCUCGUUCAUUGAGGUCUCGUAAUUUUUCACAAGUCUAGUCAUGAAAAGUAAGAAGUAUUUUAGUUCCACAAUGAAGCCCACUUCAUUUUUGUUUCUAGCGAGGCUUGCAAUAGUUUUUUUCUGUUCCGCUUUAGCUGUGAGAUGAUUUGGGGGAAAGGCGCAACUGUUCCCUCCUAUGUAACUGUCAAGGGAGACCAGUACUGUAGAUUAAAAUGAGAGCGAAGUGGCGUGAGAAAUCCAGUCAUAUCAGCGAAGUCUGCAAUUGUCCGGUUCACCUUCCAACAACACACUGAAUUUCUGUGUAAAAAUAAAUUAGUGGCAUUUGCAAGUUCUGCAAAAUUAAAAUAACUGAGAUAGUAGGGACAACAUCCAAUUUUUAUUGUCACUUGGAGAAAACACAAGGAAAGGUAAGUUGACAUAAACUAGCUAGUUAAAAGUUAGCUUGCCAAAUUUCGUACGCUUGCUAACAUUAAGUAAUUCCCCAGCCUUUGAAUGCUGGCCACUUACUUUAACUGUAGUUGAGCUAGAUAUUGCUCCAUAGUGUGAACAGGUGCCCACACCUGCUAAUUAGCUAACUGAAGCACGGUAGAUGGUUUGUGAUUCAUCUAACCUUUUGGAUAGUACUACCAAAGACUCAUGCUUUUGCCACACCACACUUGAAUGUGUUGAGUUUGCACUGUGUCUGUAACUAAAACUUCCUUGUUUUACGUCAUAUAUACAGAACCUAUGUAAUUAUUAUGAAUGUGCAGCCAAACGUUUUUUUUUGGUUUAGUUUUAUCUAACAGUACAAAAUGUCACCAUUUAGUUUUAGGGUAUUUUCAGAGGUACUAUUUUGUAUUAAAAACAAAUAGUGAAGUGUAAAUUUUUUUGGCGUCAACCUCCUCUCUUUAUUAAGAAACAUUUAUAUGUAAUUCUCUGUAUGCCUAUCAAUAAUUAGUCAAGACGGUCUUGGUCUUGACUCGGUCCCUACCCCCCAAGGUCUUGGUUUUGACUUGGUCCCUACCCCCCAAGGUCUUGGUCUUGACUCAAACUCGAGUUGCUAUAGUCUUGGUCUUGACUCUGUCUCAACCACCAACAGUCUUGGUCUUGGCUCAGUCUCGCUUCACAUGGUCUUGACUACAAAAAUGCUAAGGAUGUCUUACUCACCUUUGCAGAGUGUUUGGGGUCAUUAUCGUGUUGGUAAAUAAUGUUUUUGAUGAGAUGGCAUUUCUUUUAAGACUUCUCAAAGUGGUGCCAGAUCACUUUGCAAGAUGUUGAACAAGCAUUUAAUUGGAUUUCCUUCUGUUUCUCUGGGAAGUGACAUCUGUUCAUCAGAUGCAGACAGACUUUUGGGUCUUCCGUUGCAUUUUCCGUCUUCAACUGUUUUCAUGAAGUAAUUACAAUAAACAAUUACUUCAUGAAGUAAUUGUUUAUUGUAUAUACAUAUAAAUACAGUAAAUUAAUUUUUACUUGUAUUCAUUGUCAUGUUAUAUUGUGUUUUAAUGAGCAAAGAAAAACCUACUGCCCAGAUAAAUAGCGUUAAACAUAAUUUUUAGGUGGCUUAAGAUUUUGCACAGUACUGUGUAUCUUCUAAUUAAUCAAACUCCCUUCAAUAGAUAUAAUGAAGGCAAGAUGAGAGGUGUAGCGAAGCACUGUGUGAGGGAGGAUUGUUUUGGAGUUGAGGGAGAGGGUACUGUCUUUGCUUUGUUUUUUUGGUUCACAUUUUGUUUCUUUCACUUUUGUUUUUCUUUCACUUGUUUGAACAGAAGACAAAUACACUCCCAGUAUGUUUUUGUUGGAAUUCCUGUGCUGUUCAACUGUGUUAGAUAAAACAUAUUUCAAACAAAAUAAAUGACCCUUUGCAAAGAA